rnacentral:rRNA from 1 species
GCUUAGAGUUUGAUCCUGGCUCAGAACGAACGCUGGCGGCAUGGCUAAGACAUGCAAGUCGGACGAACCACCUCUUGCUUGCAUUGGAUGGUUAGUGGCGUAAGGGUGAGUAGUGCAUGGAUAACGUACCCCGGACACAGGGAUAACAGCGGGCGCAAGCCCUUUAGCGAAAGUGCUGCUAAUACCUGAUGAUGUCGCCGGAUCGCAUGGUUUGGCGACCAAAGGGUGGGGACCUUCGGGCCUGCCGGUCUGGGAGCGGUUCAUGUCCUAUCAGCUUGUUGGUGAGGUAACGGCUCACCAAGGCGGCGACGGGUAGCGGGACUGAGAGGUUGACCCGCCACAUCGGGACUGAGACACUGCCCGGACACCUACGGGUGGCUGCAGUAACGAAUAUUGGGCAAUGGGCGCAAGCCUGACCCAGCAAUGCCGCGUGCAGGAGGAGGUCCUUCGGGAUGUAAACUGCUGUCAGGAACCAGCAAGCAAAGCAGGUUAACAGCCUGUGGCGUUGAGCCGUUCCAGAGGAAGCCUCGACUAACUCUGUGCCAGCAGUCGCGGUAAGACAGAGGAGGCAAGCGUUGUUCGGAAUUAUUGGGCUUAAAGCGCGUGUAGGCGGCUGCGAAAGUGUUGUGUGAAAGCCCACGGCUCAACCGUGGAAUGGCAUGGCAAACUGCGUAGCUUGAGGUCGGCAGGGGUGCCUGGAACUCUAGGUGGAGCGGUGAAAUGCGUAGAUAUCUAGAGGAACGCCAGAAGCGAAAGCGGGGCACUGGGCCGAUUCUGACGCUGAGACGCGAAAGCGUGGGGAGCAAACAGGAUUAGAUACCCUGGUAGUCCACGCCGUAAACGAUGCACACUAGACGUCGGAGUUCUGACGACAUCGGCGUCGAAACAAA